UCGACCCCUACUGAGCCUCCAAACCCACGUCUGUACAGUGCGUCUACACUGGCCCACUUUGUAGAUGGUUUGAGGCCCAAGUGAGAGAUGGGGGGUUUAGGGAACUCAGGCCCUACCUCACCCCUGCUCUUUAUGAUUCACUGUAUCUCUAGGGUUUCCCCUUCCCAGCAGAAUGGUUCUUUAUAUAUCAUCAUGCCCCUGUGCCUUUCAGAGACUUGCCUCAGAACCAGGGAGAAGGUCACUGCAAGCCAUCUGCUUAUGAGAUACAUCAGUGGACAGGGGCCCAACUCAGGCAGAGCUCCUCUUUAAGGCCCACUAACACACAGUGCUCGGGCCAGUGGGUCACCUGCCCGGCGACAAGUGGUAAACGUGUAGCCACCUAGGCCCCCAAUCCAGGCAGUGGAGAUGCUGCUUCUGACUGAGGAUGGAGCCAAAGAGAGCCCAGCAUAAUCUGGUCUCUGUAACCACAGAAGGAGUGAGGGACUGGCCUUGUGGGCCUGGCUGCCAGAGGGAGUGAAGCAGAUAAAUCAGUGGAUGUUGACUCAGGGGAGAGAAUUGGGCCUUUCUGACCUGGGCUGUUCCCAAUUCUACCUAGUCCUGCUUAGGAAUAAACCUGGAGACAGUGAGGAGUAGCGGAAAGAAGGGUUCAGGGUUCCACACUCCCCAAAAAGCUGGCCUGGAUUUUCUACCUUUAAUGUGUGGCCUUGAGUAAGUGCCCCCAUGGUGCUGAGCUCCACCCCCUCCUUCCCAUGAUGGAGAGAAGAAUAAUAACAUUCACCUCCAGGGACUCUGGGGAGACUCAGUGUAGCCAGGGUUGGCCCUAGCUCACAAUCCCUGUCCUAAUCCUGCUCUCAAAGGCGACUUUGGAUCUCUCUUGGGAUCACAGGAAAAGAAAAGAGUUGAGCUCCCGCUGAUGACAGUCAGAAAGAGGCCCCCGCUCACUGUCUGCUUGGUGACCUUGGGCAAGCAGCUUACCGUUUCUGAGCCUCUGUUUCCCCAUUUGUAAACUGGGAAUAACAUCCAUUUAGGACCAAGUAAAACAGUGUAUAAGAACCUGAUGUGGAUGACACCCAAAGAGGGUGCUCUCAAGAGAGGGAGCAGGGCCCCACAUUCAUGUUCCCUCUUUCAAAAACCACGGCGUUUUUCCUGUCUCCCCUGUGCUGUAUGGGGGUUCCUCCCCUCAAUAGCCUUCUAUAACUCCCCAUUUCUUAGCAAAUCCAAAACUCACUGCCACUGGGCCUCGGCCAUCUAUAUGGCUCAGCUUCCCACUCUCUUUGCUUUCUCUCUUGUGCUCCAGGAAAAUUCUGUGGGCCUGUGUUCCUAGAAUGUUCUUGUCCUCUCCCACAUCUUUGCUCACAUUCCUCCCCCUCCCCCUGCCAGACAGUGGCCCCUCUGGGCUCCCCCAUAGUCUUUCCAGGUGAAGACUCCUCUGGUUUCUCCAACUUCUCCCUCUCCUGCGUCUGGAGGACAUUGUCCGUAUAUUCUGAUUGUGUACAAGUCACCUAGAUCUUUGUCGUACUCUCCCCAGGUUCUAAGUUGGUCAGCUUGAGGGCAAGGGGUGUGUUUUUCUCAACAUUGCACUCCCCAGCCUACUACCUUUGAUGCAGUGCCUGGCACAUAGUAGGUUCACAAUUUGGGAAACGGUAGAAUUGUUUCAAAGGGUACUGUUGAAAAGUGUCAGAAGAGAGGAGGGUGGUCACUGACACUCAUUAGGCCUCACCUCUGGGCCAGGUGCAUUACAGGUAUCAUUCCAUGAAUCUAUCAGUGAUCCUGUGAGGUGCUUGUUGUCCCCAUUUUAUAGGCAAGGCAAGAGGCUCAGAGAGGAGACAUACCAAAGGUCACAUGCCUAAGGUUAUAAAGCUGGUAAUCAUCAGACACAGAUCCAAACCCAGCGCCUGUCUGACUUGAGAGAGGGAGCUGGGCCUGGGUCUGUUGAGGCCUCCGCGUCUGCCAGCCCCAUGUCUGGCAGCACUGGCUGAAGCCUCUGCCUCCCAGCUUCCUGGAGUUCUUCUCGCUGGACGGAGUGGUCCCUGGUGUCAGCCCAGCAGGGAGCCUGGAGCCUUCUAAGACUCCCAACUCAGGCCCUAGUGCCGCUGCUGAAGAGACUCUGUAGCCACUCAGGCCUACCUUGAGGGACUGGCAAGGGGCUGACUUCACCCUCUACACCCAGGCAGUUGGGACAGAGCUAGCUGCCAUUGCACAAUCUUUACAAACAGAUCUCCAUGCUCAGACCUGGCAGGGCCCACAGAGCUGUGUCAUCCUGUCUAACCUCCUCAUUUGAGAGGCAAGAGCCCAGAGAGGUUAGGCAAUCUGUCCAAAGUCACACAGUGUUCAGAACAUUCUAACCGUAGUCAGCAUUGUGUGAGCUGUGUGUCCAAACCCUUAACAGUGUUUAUCUUUGGAAGGUGGAGUUCCUCUCAUUUUCUUCCUUAUGACUCUGAAUGAUUUGAACUUUUUAAACUUAAAUGUGUAACUUUUGUAACGAAGAAUAAAAGAAGAUUAGAAGGCAAUCAUAUGUAGGUAACAGCAUUGUUGUUAAAACCAAGUUACAGAGUUAGACUGCCUGGAUUAGAAUCCCAGCUUGCUUACUCACCAGCUGUGUGUAUUUGGGCAAGUUACUUUACCUCUGUGAGACUCAGUUUUCUCAUCUUUAAAGCGGGAAUAAUAAUCAUAUCGAUCUUGUAGGGCUGAUAGGAAGGUUAUAUAAGACAGUGAUUGGCACACUAGAGCCUGUGAACCAAACCUAGCUCGCUCCCUCCUUCUGUACAAACCACAAACUAAGACUGGUUUUUAUAUUUUAAAUGGUUGGGGGAAAAAAAUCAAAAGAAGAAUCUCAUUUUAUGACAUGUGAAUGUCAUAUAAAAUUCAAACUUCAGUGUCCAUAAAUAAAGUUUUAUUGGAACACAGCCACACCCGUUCCUUUACAUGGUAUCUGUGGCUGCUGUCACACUACAAUGGGAGGCGUAUAUUGUGACAGAGACAGUAUGGCUCACAAAGCCUCAAAUAUUUACCCAAGUCCCUUUACAGGAAAAGUUUGCCAACCCCUGAUAGGAGCUCAUGGAUGAAAAGUACUGUAGAACAAUGCCUGACACAGAUACAGAUCUCAAAGCAAGGCUUGUUGGACAAAUAAAUGAAGAUGAGCCCAAGAGCCCAGGAGAGGGACCGGGAACAGCAGGGCCUCCGUGACUCACACAAGCUUCAUCCCUGAACCAAGGACGCAGCCUGCCAACAAUGGCCCCAAGCCACACCCCGCCACAGGGGGAACUGAUGCUGCGGUGAGAAGUGACAGCUUUCUGUUGACUCUUUUUUUUUUCAAGCAGAAUAUGAAUUGAGACAUACUUUCAUUUUCAUAAUCAGAACCUAACACUUAGUAACCAAUGUUGGUGGAAGCAAAUGAGAUCACAGUUUGUCUGUUCCAAACUCAUCUCUGGGAAAAGGAGGAGGAAAAAUUAUUGGCACUAUGUUCAGAAUCAUAGCUGAAGAUGCAGAAAUUGUUCAUCCCAAUUUUGCCUUUGUAAGUAAUGUGGGGGCAGUUCUUAUUAGUAAUUGCCAAUCUCUACUGAGACACAGUAUUUUGCUAGGCGCUUUAUAUUCAUUUCCUGGUAUGAUCAUGACAUUAACCCUGUGAAAUGCGUACCCUUACUAUCUCCAUGUGAAGAAAUGAGGGAACUGAGGACCAGAGAGGUGAACUGACUUGUCCAAAGACACACAGUAAGGGCUGUGACUCUCCGCUUUCUAAGAUUUUUGUUCUUAUCGCUCCACAGCACAUAGCAGGCGUAGUAUGAAGGCAGCAUGCUGCACAAUUUCGCUGUUUGUUUCUUGGAAUAAUAAUUUAUAGGGGACUGCUUCUAGAUUCCAAAGGAAAGAGAAAGGAAAUAUGCCCCAAACUCAGGCUUUCAGCCUGGCCCUGCCUGACUCACUGAGCUGCAUUGGACAAAUGAUUCAUUCACUGGCCUUGACCUCAGUGGGUUUGGCCACCCAUUGAGAGUGAAGUCACACCUCCAGCACUGCGAUGCAUUUAUUGAUCCACUCACCUAGCUUCAUGGCAGGCAAGAAACAGGCCUGUGUGAGCCUGCCCAGGAUCAGGGACAGGAGAGCACACAGGUGUUUCUGGAUAUCCUCAAGCUGUAGCUGGGCUGCUCGAUUCUUCCCUAGGAGAUCCUCCGGGGGCCUGAAUUAGUUUGCUAGGGCUUCCGUAACAAAGCGCCACAGACUGAGCGGCUUAAAUAAAAAUGUGUCAUCUCAUGGUUCUGGAGGCUGGAAGUCUGAGAUCAAGGUGCUGGGGAUUAGGACUUGAACAUAUGUUUUUUGGGGGCACACUUCAACCCUCCGGAGGGCCUGUGCCCCAAAGAGAGCCUCCUUCUGUGUGCAGUGAAGGUGUGAGUUCUAAACAUGAGAAAAAAACACCCCUUGUUCUUGGAUAGGGUGACUCGAUACCACAAGCAGGUCCAACUGGCCCAGGUAAAUAUAUUCGUUUAACAUGAUCGUCACCAAAAUAUUGAGGGUAGGUGUUUUUUUCUGGAGUUAAACAAGUUGAUUCUGGAGUUGAUAUGAAAUAAUAAACAAGCAAAAAUAG
rnacentral:lncRNA from 1 species